ACCUAAAUGAACCAGGAGGGGUUCACCUGCAGGGCUCCACCAAAGAAGGCAGUCCUGCCAAGAGCCUGACUUCAGCCUGGACUCGGGCAGGGCAGACAGCCCAGCCAAGCCUCCCACACUCCCACCCCGCAGAAGCACAAGAACACUUUCAAGUCCAUCUGCAGUACCAGGGAGUGCUCUGCUCUUUUCAUGCCUGAAUACCAUUCCACUCUACCGAAGGCCAACACCUUAGUCAACUUCUCAUCAGCUGGUACUUGCAAGUUGUUUCUGUUUUGUGGCUGUUCUGAACAUUGCUUGAUCUUUUAAACCGUUUUCCGCCAGGAGUAUACACCUAAACAUGACGUGGUUAUGGAAGAAAGUGGACAGCUAACACAGGGACAAAGCGAUGUCCCUCAAGAACUAGAAACUACCACUGACAAUAAACAGUGCUUCUUCACUUUUUGUCUCGGGGUUUUUGGUGCUAAGACUGAAUCCAAAGCCUCAUAUACGCUAA